CUGCAAGUCACCGUGACUCUCCUCACUCACCUCUGCAGUCAGAGUGCAAAUUCAGGAAAGGAUACCAGCCUGUGUCCGUCAUUCUGGGCAAUGCAGAUCCUGUCCCAGGCACUUAAAUUCAAGGUGGUCCCGCUCUAAACCUUGCUUUUUCCAUCGAGCGUCUCCAUCACUUCUAUUGUUAUCAGGGGGCACAUUCUCCUUCUCCAUGAAAGGAGAGGCACAUUCUGAAUAUGUAACAAUAGCCUGCAUGCAGCUCUCUGAUUACAAAUAUCAAGUGUUAUGAAAGCCCCAUCAGUGUACUGAUCAAAGGCACAGGGACUCACUGCUGGGGCAGCAGGUGACCUAGUACAACCGGAAUAAAGGAAAAUGCUGAGUAGACACGGGCUCCCAGGAAAUUCACAUUAAAGACUGUCGUCGUCUGUUGCCUUCUCAGCUAUGCUUAUGAAAGGGUCUAACGGAAAGCAGACAAAGCCAUUGAUGUCACACUGCUACCUGAUAAUUAACAGUACGUUCAAGGUUUACGGAUCAUGAGCAUUUCCUAUUUUCAGCCACAACAGGAACAAUAAGUGUUUGUUAUAACAGUCACCUUUGGCCAUAAGUUACUCAGAGUAUUUCCACUGACCCCAUCCCUCAGAAUGCUACAUGCCUGGGAGAGGUUCAGGUCAUAGAUAGGAGUGCAGAAGCCAAUGUGGAGCAUAUACUUAGCAUAUGCUUAAUCAGUGGGCAUAAUAUAGCUUUUCUCAUUGCUAUAGCAAAAGAUCCCAACCAAAGAAACAGGGAAGGGAAGGAGGGAAGGGUAAUUUAGAAGCACAGUCCAUCAAGGUGGAAGACACGGUAGCUAGAUCUCUCUGGUGUGUAGCAGUUAGAGGUUUUAGCAGAUGGUCACAUCACCACAGCAGACAGAGAAGAGGCAGAAGCAGAGGCCAGCGAUCACCCUCAAUGCCUGGCCUCAGGGUUCAACUUUUCCAACCCCUCCUUCAACUUCUAAAGGUUCCACAGCCUCCCUAAAACUACACCACCAGCUGGGCACCAAGGGCUCAAACACAGGAGCCAGUGAGAGCCUGGGAGAGCCUAUUGGGGGUGUCACACUCAAACCACCACAGAGUAAAUAGUCCUAUCCUGAGAGCCACUGGCCAUGCAGAUAGAACACAACCAUCGUUGUCUCCUCCAAAGCGAGCGGGCGGAGACAGUUAGCAGAAGCAACACUUUACUUUCUGAAGGGCACCGAUUAAGUUUGUAGUUAAAAACAGAUUUGUCUCUCACAAAAACACCUCCACAGGAAGCAAACCCCAGUAAGAACGACUCAGAAUUAGUCCAAAACUGGAGGCCUCUGUGACAACAAACAGUUUCAUGGUGACUUCACAGCACACACUCUGGGGACAGAGGUAGUGUCAGGCUGAAAUGAUAGGACACAGAGAGCCAGCUGCUGCCGGAGCUUAGAAGGUUAAACCGAUGGUUGGUGCUGGAGGAAGCUUUGGCGGGAUGGAGGAGGCCAGGAGGCUUCUUUCUGCUUCUCUUCGUGUGACUGACAUCCUCAGACAUGCUCCGUGGUGGCUCUGUGUCCUUCUAGGUCUGGCUCUGCUGGCUGGUCUCUUCAUCCAUGCAGACCCGAAGAGUGCUGGUGCUGGUACCCAUGCCGUCUCCCACCUGAGCCUUCUGGAUCCGGGAAUGACAUCAGGUCCCUGCUCAAGGAGUGUAUGACUCACACACCAUCAUGUUCACUGGAAGGCUGGCUCUCCGGUAGACUGAGAAAGAAGUUGCUGAGGUCUGUGGGACUAGAGAAGACCUGCCAUGCCUAAAGAUGGUCAAAAUGGGAACAAGCAAAUGGAAACCCAAGGUGGGAUUUACCAUCCAGAGACAUGUGACCCAAGUGUCACAUUGAUAAUAUGCCACAAAGACAUAAAGUGAGACAUUAUAUCGCCUAAAAUGGAAGGAAAGCCUGACACGGGGUGAGUGCCUAGGUCAUUGUGCUUAGUUGAAUAAACUGGUGACAAAAAGAUAAACAACAGCACACGGUCUCAAUAAGGUGUGGGAUUGGUCUGAUGCCAUCUUAAGAACUAGACACAAGACUUAAAGCCAUAGAGAUAGAAAGUUGGGUGGUAGUUGUCUGGGGCUGGGAGGAAAUGUGGAUUUCUGUCUAAUGGGUACAAAUGCUUACUCAAAAUCAUAGAGAUGGAGGGUUGAGUGGUGGUUGUCUGUGGCUGAGAGGAAUUAGGACUUCAUGUCUGAUGGGCACAGGAGUUUCAGUUCGGCAAGAUAACAAAUGUUCUAGCCAUAGAUGUUGGAGGUGGUAACAAGAUAAUUUUACCACUGUUAAUGUACUGACCUGUGUAUUUUGACAUGCUUACAGUACACACACACACACACACACACACACACACACACACUCAGAG